rnacentral:lncRNA from 1 species
AGCCUCAUUUCCCCUUUGCCACUCACCCCCAAAACUUAGGGCAGAAGACCGUAUAGUGCCUGGGGUUUACAUUAGUACAAAAUCACUUUCAUUCAGGAUAAAGUUCUGUAUCCAUAAACAUGCCUUUACAUGACACCGGGCAUACACGACAUGGGACCUGAAGAAAAGGACAAGGCACUGAAUAAUUUUUAUUUAUUUAUUUCUUUAUUUACUUAUUCAUCACGUAUGUAGUGACUGAGAAUUUGCCAAUUACCAGGAACUGCCCUAGACGUUUAACACUUUUAUGUGAGCCUUAAAAGAUAGACGCGUUCAUGUCCUUUGCCUACUUUUUAAUGGGAUUAUUUUUUUGUUGUAAAUUUGUUUAAUUUCCUUGUAGAUUCUAGAUAUUAGACCUUUUUUAGAUGGAUAGAUUGCAAAAUAUUUCUCCCAUUCUGUAGGUUGCCUUUUCACCUUGAUGGUAGUUUCUUUUGCUUUCAGAAGCUCUUUAGUUUAAUUAGAUCCCAUUUGUCAAUUUUUGCUUUUGUUGCAAUUGCUUUUCGCAAUUUGGUCAUGAAAUUUUUGCCCGUGCCUAUGUCCUGAAUGGUAUUGACAUGAACAGACACUUCGCAAAAGAAGACAUUCAUGCGGUCAACAAACAUUAAAAAAAAAAGCACAACAUCACUGAUCAUUAGAGAAAUGCAAACCAAAACCUCAUUGAAAUACCAUCUCAUGUCAGUCAGAAUGGCAGUUAUUAAAAAGUCAAGAAACAACAGAUACUGGUGAGGCUGUGGAGAAAUAGGAAGGCUUUUACACUGUUGGUGGGAAUGUAAAUUAGUUCAAACCUUGUGGAAGAUGGUGUGGUGAGUCCUCAAAGAUCUAGAACCAGAAAUAACAUUUGACCCAGCAAUCCCUUUACUGGGUAUAUACCCAAAGGAAUGUAAGUCAUUCUGUUACAAAGAUACGUGUACACAUAUGUUCACUGCAGCACUAUUCACAAUAGCAAAGACAUAGAAUCAAUCUGAAUGCCUAUCAAUGAUAGACUGGAUAAAGAAAAUGUGGUACAUAUAUACCAUAGAAUACUAUGCAGCCAUUAAAAGGAAUGAGAUCAUGUCCUUUGCAGGGACAUGGAUGGAGUUGGAAGUCAUUAUUCUCAGCAAACUAAC